CUGCCUCUUUCCGGACCGCCGCCGCCUCUGUGGAUGUGGUCUGCAGGGAUUCCCUGGCGGGAAGAGCGUGAGGCUUUCUCUAUCCCGAGUUCCACAGGAGGAAGGCAUGUGCCUUCCCUAGUCCCGCUUCAGCCACUUGAAGGACAUUGCCUUGACAGCGUAAUGUGAUACUGCAAGCAUCAGGACAGUUUUGUAGCUGAAAUUCCCGUAAGGCCUCUGCAUAAACUCAAGAUUCUAGCAGGUGUUCAAGAAAACCCCAAUCCAGUCAUGGUGAACUGAGAGUAAACAGGGGAAAGAAGAAUUGGAAUCUGAUUGUAACCAAGAAAGUCCACCUGUGGUGGGGUGACCACGUGUCCUGCUCCAAGCAAGUCUUACAACCAAAGAUAUUUAUUAUAAAAUGAAAUUAAAUCUGUCUAUGGUAAAAGCACUUAAAAUUGCUGUUUAAAAACUAUCUUAACCUAGAUUUAAUGCACUAUUUAUCAAGCAUUUGUGUCAACAUUGUAUUAAAUAGAAAAGAAAUGCUAUCUAUCCUUGGUGUAGUCGUCUUCAAGGCAAAUACAAUCUCAAAUUUAUACUGCAAACAACAUGAAACAGAUUAAAUUCAAAAUGAUUAGCAUGAACUUGAGGAACUAGAUAUUUAGCCAUAGAACUUGAAUUAAAAAAAUACAUAUAUAUAGAAAUCUCAAUUCUAAGAGAGAGGUAGCAUCUGAUAAAUAUAGUUUAUUGAAUUGUUUUACAAACAGGACAAGACAUAAUAAGUUUUGUGGCAUUUAUAUAAGAACGUAUUGAGGGAAAGACUCGUUAUUUUUAGGAAGAGUAUGGAUAUUUGACAGAAAAGGACAGAGUCUGGAAAAAAAAGGAGCUGGAGAAUGGAGUUACGCCAGGAUCCAUGAAACCAGGGACACUCAUCUAAGUUUGCUCAAAGUAAAAGAAACAGUUACAACUGUAGCCUACGUAGCAAAAGAAAUAAAAAGGUCAAGAUAUUUAUCAACAUCAUGGGGAUUGGGCAUCCUGGCAUUUAUUAGAUGAAGAAUGUUAGAAAUCCCCAUUACCGAGUGAAACAAAGGGCAAUUCCAGAACAGGUAAAUUGAAAGCUACCCUGGAAAGCUGUAAAUAUCCCAAACAAGUGAAACAAUAGGGAAAAGUGCUUGCUGCAGUCUAUGUCUCUUCAGCUUAUCUUUUGGAACAUCUCUAUGUGCCAAGCUUUCUGCCCUCAAAGACUUUAAAAUCUAGCAGAGGGGACUGAAGCAUUCACAGAAGGUAAGUCCAAGAAAAUGUGACUAGUGCCACAAUAGUGGCAUGAUGCAGAUGCUUUAGGAGCCCAGAGGAAGGGUGCUAAGACUGGGUUGGUGUGCCAAGGAAAGCCUUAAGGGAAGAUGGCACCAGUUUGAAGAAUAAGUAGGACUCUGCCAGG